rnacentral:rRNA from 1 species
CAGUCGCCGCGGUAAUACGAAGGGUGCAGGCGUUAAUCGGAAUUACUGAGCGUAAAGCGUGCGUAGGCGGUGAGUUAAGUCUGCUGUGAAAUCCCCGGGCUCAACCUGGGAAUGGCAGUGGAUACUGGCUCGCUAGAGUGUGUCAGAGGAUGGUGGAAUUCCCGGUGUAGCGGUGAAAUGCGUAGAGAUCGGGAGGAACAUCAGUGGCGAAGGCGGCCAUCUGGGACAACACUGACGCUGAGGCACGAAAGCGUGGGGAGCAAACAGGAUUAGAACCCCCGUAGUCCCUGUCUCUUAUACA